GUGCCCCCACGUGCUGCCUCUUCCUGAGGGAGAGCGGUCGCAAGAGACAGAGAGAUCAAGGCUUAGAGAGGGUCAGCCGGCAAGUGUUAGAACUGGAACUGAAACCCAGAUCCACUCGACUCCCAAGCGACCUCGGUCAUCUAGAGAGAACACCCAGAAGUCAUUCCCUGCAACCUCACCAAGGGAGCCAGUCACCUCGAGGCCUCAGGGAAGGGCCACAGCUCUCUCCCCUCUGGAGAUAGCUUUCUUUAACCUCUCCCCGACUCUGACAGAGGCCAAGACCCAAAC